AGCCCAUUUUAUACCCCCCCAAAUUUGACCUCAAAUCAGGUAGGACUACCCGCUGAACUUAAGCAUAUCAAUAAGCGGAGGAAAAGAAACCAACAGGGAUUGCCUCAGUAACGGCGAGUGAAGCGGCAAAAGCUCAAAUUUGAAAUCUGGCUGCUUUUUUAGUAGUCCGAGUUGUAAUUUGAAGAAUAGAUCCUUGGAGAGGCGCCUUGUCUAUGUUCCUUGGAACAGGACGUCGCAGAGGGUGAGAAUCCCGUUUGGCGAGGUGUGCUGAUCCGUGUAAGGGCUGUUCGACGAGUCGAGUUGUUUGGGAAUGCAGCUCUAAGUGGGUGGUAAAUUCCAUCUAAAGCUAAAUAUUGGCGAGAGACCGAUAGCGAACAAGUACAGUGAUGGAAAGAUGAAAAGAACUUUGAAAAGAGAGUGAAAAAGUACGUGAAAUUGUUGAAAGGGAAGGUUAUUAGAUCAGACUUGGAUUUUUUAUUAUAUUUGUCUCCUUGUGGGGCAUUCACUAAUUUUUAAUCCAGGCCAGCAUCGAUUGGGAUGGCGGGAAAAAGAGGGAGGAACGUGGCUGUGCAUUUAUGUGCAGUGUUUAUAGCCUUUCUUAAUACCGCCUGUCUCGAUCGAGGACUGCGGC
rnacentral:rRNA from 1 species